rnacentral:tRNA from 1 species
GCUGAAAUGGCGGAAUCGGCAGACGCAGCGGACUUAAAAUCCGCUAUUCGAGAGAAUGUACGGGUUCAAGUCCCGUUUUCAGCACCA